AAACUACUCCUUCCGUUCGGAAUUACUUGUCGUAGAAAUGGAUGUAUCUAGAUGUAUUUUAGUUCUAGAUACAUUCAUUUUCGAGACAAGUAAUUCCGAACGGAGAGAGUAGACG
rfam:Triticum aestivum genome assembly, contig: Triticum_aestivum_CS42_TGACv1_scaffold_031028_1BL